AAACUUUGUGACAUGCUGGGAAAAGUUGCCAGAAAACCACUACUUCAACUCCAGUAAGAGAUUUUCUUGAACAGUUGUGACACAGGCCUUCUACAACUGGCAAUUCACCUCAAAAGAAAGCCUAUCUAGAAGAGAGGAAGCAUUUGAACCAAAACCUGGAAACAAAAAGAGCUGAAACAGAGAGACAGUCCGCCAGCUCCUCAAAAUUUCGAUUCUUGGCUGGCAGCUUUUCUGAUGAAGAUUUCCACACAAAGAAUCACACAAUUUAUGAAACUGCUGCAGUUACACAAGGACGGAAGGCACAGAUGCCCAACUGAAGAUCCCAGACUAGUCUACAGCUCUUCAACACUUCAAGAUUCAAAAACCCUUCUAUUCUAGGUGAAGUCAUCUAUUGCAGCCUAACAGUGUGUGAAAGUAAAAGAACAGAAUGGAUUUAUCAGCAAACCGAGGCCUCAAUCUCUUGCUCAACUUCCUCCUAAUUGUCCUAGUGCUGAUCCUGAUGCUAAUUCUGGUGAAGCUUAUGUGACCACGACAAAUGUAACUAAAGUAAUCUCGGAGGUAAUGCAGAUGAUUUGAAGAAGGGAACUGAAUAAAGUGUGCCCGUGAAGAAUAUACUGUACUACAGGUCAAGGAGAACAUAGAGAAUGGCUCCAUUGCCAAAGAUAAAAAAGGAAAGCUCUGUUUGUGGUUUUUUUUUUUUUUGAUGGAGUAUAACAACUAAACAUAACAAAAUACACUCAAGCACAAAGCAGUAUACAGUACAUAAUAUGGCAUGAUUCACUUUUAAUAAACCUUUACUUUAGGAUGUACACUACUUAACACUUAGCACUUAACAAUCUACUAACAACUCAAUAUAGGAUAUGGAUUACACAGAUUUUCAUUUUGCUGUAUUUUAGCUACACAUCCAAGAACAUGCAAGCAGAAUACCAGGUUAUUAAAAAAAUAAAGGCUUGUCACCCCCUAGUGGUCAUCAAUUUCAGAAAAAUAAGAUUCUCUCUUCUUAAUACUUAAAAGGCAUAUUUUGUCUUUGUUUUAUCAGUAAAUUUCAUGAAGAAGAAAAAAAAGUAUUCUUAUUGUAUGUUAAAAGGACUAUAUAUCCUAUUAUCCUCUUGAAAUACUUAAAACACAUUCGUUUUUUGUCAGCAUACACAUUUUGAAUGCCACUGCCAACAUACUGUUAUAUAUUCACAAUGGAUUUCAAAUAGAAGUCUCAAUUCUUCAAGCUAUCCUCAGUUUUCAGAAAGCUAUUGGGUGGGAAUUUGUCUAAACUACGGCAUCUCAGGCCAAUUUACGGGUACAAAAAGGCACUAUGAAAAUUCAUCCAAUUGGUUAAAAAUACAUCAUGUUGUUAGAAUGAAUAAUAAUCAUUUAUAAUGAAAAGCUCAGUUUAGGCAAAAAUCUAAAUGCAACUUUAUUCGCAAAAUCUAUGCAUUCUGGUCACAAAACAUUUAUCCAAAACAGCAGCAUUGCAUGUUGUAAGUUAUUUCUUUCAAUGUCCUGGGGUCUUAAAAUGAAUACAUUUGUUUUUUAUAGCUACUGCUUUAAAACUACACUUUCAAGCCCUUAUGGUGUUUGCAUAUUUUAAAAAACACAAACUACAAGGAGGUGUUACUUACUCAGUUAAACCUGAUAGAUUUUACCUUGUGCUUUAGCUUCACUAAAACAUACUGAAAGCUUAAUAAAAAACAAACCACAUAAAGGAAUCUGGCUGUGCCUUUGUAUGGCAGACACUCUAGUUAUCCACAAAGAAAAAUACUUUAAAGGAAAUUAUACUUCAACAUAAAAAACUAACCCAUUAUACAGAUAUUUGUGUAACUCAGAUCAAAAUUAAAGUAAGAAUAAAAAAUUAGUGUGUAAUGUACAGACAAAAUAUGUAAUUGCAGAGACAUGCAAUUAAUUGGGCUACUAAAACAGCACAUAUUUAUUGAUGAAAAAGUAAACAAAAUGCAUAUUGUUUUGGGUUUCUGAGGCCUAGUAGAACAACUGAAAUGUGACAAAUACAGCAAAAGCACAAAUGACACAUAUUUGAAUUGUAAUGGAACAAACAGAAUGCAAGGUCCAGUUCGUAAUUAUUGCUGAUUGCAUUAGUCCACUUCAAUGGCUAAUUCUGUAUGAUUAGUAAACAGGCAUAAGCAAUAACAAAGUAUUAUCUCAUAUUUGAAGCACCUUGAAAACCAUAGAAAAAAAUGCAAUUUUUUUUAACAUUCAUUCUGAAAUAAUGGAUUGUGUUCAAAUGAUGUUUGAUUUCACAAAUGUAGCCUUAAAUUUGGGAUAAAUGUGAAAAAGGAGUGAGAAAUUCAGAAAGUAAAGCAGCAGGAGCUUGUGGCAUUUGAAAUUUGAAUUAAAUUGACUUGUCCAUUAUUUACUCUUAAAUAUUACUCUUAAGUAAAUAUUAAAUAUUUUUAAGCAGCUGAAGUCUAUUUCUUAUACUCUGGCAAAAAUAAAUGUCACAACAGCAAAUGUUACAAACCUCAUAGUGAACUCUGACAAACUUGAUUUUAAAAAUGUACAGUUUUAAACAGAUACUGUAAAAGACAUUAUAAUGAAUAACAUUGGCAAUUACUAAAUUAUGGGGCACCGAUAUUAAUGUUUGAAAUUUUAUUCUUUUAGUAUUAUUUUAAGCAGUAUUUUUCUGUUACCAAAUACCAAGUAUCAGUGGUAACAUUUAGUAUGUGCACACAGUAAAAACAAAUCCAAGUAUUCCAUGAUGAUCAUACUAUUAGCAUAGGGUUUAUAAAGAAUAUCUCCCUGUCCCAUCUCUGCUCUAAAAUCUCCCACACUUGUUACACUUGGGAGAAAAACACUUCUGCCAGAAGUGAAUUGCAGGCCCUAACAGUACAUUAAAGGUAACGACAAGUCAGUUGUGCUAACAUGUUACGAUAUAGGACAGCACAACAGUAUAUGAUGUUGCCAGAUGGGCACAGCAUCCUGGUUUUGAAUCUAAUGACUGUCCAUUGAGUGCAGGUUCACCCAACUUCUGUUCCAAUUUUUUUCCUAAAUCUCUAAGAUUGCAAAAGUUAUGUUAAUUAGCAAAUAUCAAAUUAACCCAGGGUAUGUGUGUGUAUGUGUGGGGGUGUGUGGUUGGGCCAUGUGGUGUACUGGUACCUUUGCUCAAGGAUGUUUCCAGCACUAUCAAAAUAGGCAUCAGCCACUGCACCCCUGAUUAUUAUUAAAUGGCUAUGAAUAUGUUUAAAUACAACACAUCAUAUGAUAAUUAAGAUUUCCAUUUCACAUUGGAUUUCGAAUGCAUUUUUUGCAGUUUUGGGGAUUUCAGUCAAUCUUUAUAUAUAGUGUUAUAAUAAAGUGAUUAUGUAAAAGUGUACAUUUCUAAAAACAAACAUACUGUGUGUGCUUAUUUUAGGUUUAAAUAACAAAAUGAAUGAAAUAAUUAAAAAAAAACAGACACAA